GAGCGGAACGAGAAGUACUUGUACUUCGGCGUCGAGCGGCGGACGGGUGAGUAAUGCUUGGGAAUAUGCCUUAUGGUGGGGGACAACAGUUGGAAACGACUGCUAAUACCGCAUAAUGUCUACGGACCAAAGCGGGGGACCUUCGGGCCUCGUGCCAUUUGAUUAGCCCAAGUGAGAUUAGCUAGUUGGUGGGGUAAUGGCCUACCAAGGCGACGAUCUCUAGCUGGUUUGAGAGGAUGAUCAGCCACACUGGGACUGAGACACGGCCCAGACUCCUACGGGAGGCAGCAGUGGGGAAUAUUGCACAAUGGGCGCAAGCCUGAUGCAGCCAUGCCGCGUGUGUGAAGAAGGCCUUAGGGUUGUAAAGCACUUUCAGUUGUGAGGAAAGGGUGUUGGUUAAUACCUAACAUCUGUGACGUUAGCAACAGAAGAAGCACCGGCUAACUCCGUGCCAGCAGCCGCGGUAAUACGGAGGGUGCGAGCGUUAAUCGGAAUUACUGGGCGUAAAGCGUGCGUAGGCGGUUUGUUAAGCAAGAUGUGAAAGCCCCGGGCUCAACCUGGGAACUGCAUUUUGAACUGGCAGGCUAGAGUUUUGUAGAGGGUGGUGGAAUUUCCAGUGUAGCGGUGAAAUGCGUAGAGAUUGGAAGGAACAUCAGUGGCGAAGGCGGCCACCUGGACAAAAACUGACGCUGAGGCACGAAAGCGUGGGGAGCAAACAGGAUUAGAUACCCUGGUAGUCCACGCCGUAAACGAUGUCAACUAGCCGUCUGUAUCCUUGAGAUGUGGG
rnacentral:rRNA from 1 species